rnacentral:SRP_RNA from 1 species
GCCAGGUGUGGUGGCUCACACCUGCAAUCCCAGCAUGUUGGGAGGCCGAGGCAGGUGGAUCACUUGAGCCCAGGAGUUCAAGACCAGCCUGGGCAACAUAGUGAGACCCUGCCUCUA